CUCCUGGCUGUGAACUUGGGAGUCUGAGUUUGGGCCCCAUUUCUUUUUGGCAAAGACACGACAGUUGGGUUAAUAGUUUCCACUUGAAGACAUCGCCUCUCCUCCUUCCAAGCUGGGAGCACAGGAGCCCACAGCGGGAGGGUGGGGCGGCUGGAACUCACAACCCACUGCCGCCGGGCUGGGCCGUCCACUGAGGCGCUGUCCUCCUGGAGAAGAGAAUGGAGACCCGGUGGGGACUGCCCGGUCUCAUCUUCCUGUAUUUUCUGCUGCACGUGCAAGGUCAGGGAGACUUUGACCUGGCCGAUGCCCUCGAUGACCCUGAACCCACCAAGAAGCCAAUCUCAG